rnacentral:tRNA from 1 species
GGGGUUGUGGCUCAGUGGUAGAGCACUCACCUAACACGUGCAAGGUUCUGGGUUCAAUCUUCAGCACCACA